rnacentral:tRNA from 1 species
AUCUGGAUAGCUCAGUUGGUUGGACCAUGGUGCUGAUAAUGCCAAGGUUGCAGGUUCAAUCUCCGCAUGGGACA